rnacentral:lncRNA from 1 species
CCGGGCGUGGCCUCGGUGCGACAGGACGGGCUUCGGGUCUGACAGCGCGCCGGUCCCUGCUCCGCCUCCUCGGGUCCUGGAUUCAAGUCCUGCGAACCGGCUUUGUCCCCCUGAUAUUCCAAAUAAAGACCAGGGAGUCCUCAGCUUAGGAGCUUCUCCUGGACAUCUCCCUGAUGCUGGCUUUCUUGGUUGAGAUGGCCCUACUUAGCCUAUCGAUGAUUGAACUGUCUCGUCUCUGAGUAAUCAUCAUCCUCUGUGCCACCAGGGCCACACAUGGUAACAGGAUC